AUCGGUCAAAAAAAAAUUUUCAGUAUAUUAUAGCUAUUUAUUUUGAAAAUGAUAAAGUUUUGAAUGCAUUUACAUUUACAUCGUAGAUAAAAGUUGGUUGCAGUAAGUGAAAUAUGCCAUUUUUUAAAAAGCUUUACAUUUAGUAGACAAAGCAAAUGGAUAAAUAUAAUUUAAAUUACGCUCUGUUAUUUGUAAUUUCUAAGGUUAUUUAACUUAUUUUAAAUUUUCUAUAUAAAGCUUUAUAUAGAAAAUUUAACAAUAAGGUUAUUAUUUUAUUUUAAAUUAAAAGUCAUUAGUAUUACUAAAUAAUAUAUAAUAACAUAUAUGGUAAGUUAAUACAUAUUAUAUAUGGUAAGUUACUACAUGUCUAAGUCUAGAAAAUUAUGCAAGAAUAUAUGCAAUCCAUAUAGUCAAUACUAUAGAAAUAAUCCUUUAUUAGUUUUAUUUAUUAUUUUUUUUUAUUUUUAUACUUUAUUAACAAUUAUUUCUAUAAUAUAGGCUAAAUGGAUUAUUUAUAGUCUUGUUUAACUCUAUAGUUUAGACAUAUGACAUGUAGUAACAUACCAUAUUAGUUUAAAUCAGUUGUAAAAUUAAAAAUGUUAACAUCUUUGAUAGGCAUAUUUAUUUAGGUUAGUUGCAGCUAAGUUUACAUGGCUAGUUAAUAUGCUUUUAUAAAUUGCAAUUUUUGUUAAUUUCCAAAUUAAACAUGUGGCAUCCAAUAUCAUAAACUAAGUUUAUACUGGUGUGUUUAUAUUAUUUUAGAAUUUUUUGUUAUUGACACAUGGCAUUUGUUAUCCCACUGUAAGUUAAAUCUAGUUGUAAAAUUAAAAAAUUUAUAUUGGAACUUCUAUUUCUUUUAACAUUCAUGUUUAAUUAAUUGAAUUACAACUUAGGUUAUAUAUGAGUUAUUUAUACUAUCUUAGAAUUUGCUGCUUUAGAGGCAUGGCAUUUAGUGUCACAUUGUAGGUUUAAAUUGGUUGUAGAAUUUAUAUUGUAACUUGCAUAUUUAUUUAGUUGAUUUUACUCUAAGUUUAUAUCUGAUGUGUUUGUAUUAUUUUAGAAUUUACUGUUUUAGACACGUGGCAUGUGGUAUUCCACUACACUUGGUAUAAGCUGUCAUACUGUAAGUUUAAAUUGGUUGUAAAAUUUAUAUUGUAACUUGCAUUUCUAUUGGCGCGCAUAUUUAUUUAGUUGAGUUUCAACUAUUAAUAAUAAUAAUAAUAAGUUUAUGUCUGGCGUUUCAACUAUUAAUAAUAAUAAUAAUAAGUUUAUGUCUGGCGUAUUUAUAUUAUUUUAGAAUUUGCUGUUUUAGACACGUGGUUUGUAAUAUCCCACUAAUUAGCUAUUUUAAACAUGUGACAAGUGGUAUGACACUGUAUUGAUGUAUGUGAAAUGUAUAGAGUCUUUCAGUUAUCAGGUAAUGUCCAGGAGUUGACAGCAUGGUGUCUGAUUUAAAGUACGAACCUGUGUACGAGUAACAACCUUAUUCAAAACCAAAACCUAUUUAAACCAACCAAACCAAAACUAGCAACCAAAAACUAAUAUCUUGGCAUUGGUUUAUUUUAAACAUUUAUUAUAUAUGUGUGUGUGUUUUAUAUAAAUGUACUAGCUUGAGUAUAGUGUAUUAAAAAUAUCUUUUUAACUAUUUUUAUUGUAAUUUAAAGUAUAUUGGAUUAAAUAUUAUAAAUAUUUGAUGAGUUUUCAAUUUUUGGUUAAAACGCUUUAAUGUAGAAUAUCGA